UACGUAGGGUGCGAGCGUUGUCCGGAAUUAUUGGGCGUAAAGAGCUUGUAGGCGGUUUGUCGCGUCUGCCGUGAAAAUUCGAGGCUCAACCUCGAACUUGCGGUGGGUACGGGCAGACUAGAGUGUGGUAGGGGAGACUGGAAUUCCUGGUGUAGCGGUGAAAUGCGCAGAUAUCAGGAGGAACACCGAUGGCGAAGGCAGGUCUCUGGACCACUACUGACGCUGAGAAGCGAAAGCAUGGGGAGCGAACAGG
rnacentral:rRNA from 1 species